AACGAACGCUGGCGGCAGGCCUAACACAUGCAAGUCGAACGCUCCGCAAGGAGAGUGGCAGACGGGUGAGUAACGCGUGGGAAUUUCCCCCAAGGUUCGGAACAACUGAGGGAAACUUCAGCUAAUACCGAAUGGUACCGAGAGGUUAAAGAUUUAUCGCCUUGGGAUGAGCCCGCGUUGGAUUAGCUAGUUGGUGAGGUAACGGCUCACCAAGGCUGUGAUCCAUAGCUGGUCUGAGAGGACGACCAGCCACACUGGGACUGAGACACGGCCCAGACUUCUACGGAAGGCAGCAGUGGGGAAUCUUGGACAAUGGGCGCAAGCCUGAUCCAGCCAUGCCGCGUGGGCGAUGAAGGUCUUCGGAUUGUAAAGCCCUUUUGGCGGGGACGAUAAUGACGGUACCCGCAGAAUAAAGCUCCGGCUAACUUCGUGCCAGCAGCCGCGGUAAUACGAAGGGGGCUAGCGUGUUCGGAAUUACUGGCGUAAGACGUGCGCAGGCGGUC
rnacentral:rRNA from 1 species